rnacentral:rRNA from 1 species
AUUGAACGCUGGCGGCAUGCCUUACGCAUGCAAGUCGAACGGCAGCACGGGAGCAAUCCUGGUGGCGAGUGGCGAACGGUGAGUAAUGUAUCGGAACGUACCUUCAGUGGGGGAUAACGUAGCGAAAGUUACGCUAAUACCGCAUAUUCUGUGAGCAGGAAAGCAGGGGAUCGCAAGACCUUGCGCUGAUUGAGCGGCCGAUAUCAGAUUAGCUAGUUGGUGAGGUAAAGGCUCACCAAGGCGACGAUCUGUAGCGGGUCUGAGAGGAUGAUCCGCCACACUGGAACUGAGACACGGUCCAGACUCCUACGGGAGGCAGCAGUGGGGAAUUUUGGACAAUGGGCGCAAGCCUGAUCCAGCCAUGCCGCGUGAGUGAAGAAGGCCUUCGGGUUGUAAAGCUCUUUCAGCCGGGAAGAAAACGCAUGGGUUAAUACCCUGUGUGGAUGACGGUACCGGAAUAAGAAGCACCGGCUAACUACGUG